AUACGGCGAAACUGCGAAUGGCUCAUUAAAUCAGUUAUCGUUUAUUUGAUAGUACCUUACUACUUGGAUAACCGUGGUAAUUCUAGAGCUAAUACAUGCUUAAAAUCCCGACUCACGAAGGGAUGUAUUUAUUAGAUUAAAAACCAAUGCCCUUCGGGGCUCUUUGGUGAUUCAUAAUAACUUUUCGAAUCGCAUGGCCUUGCGCCGGCGAUGGUUCAUUCAAAUUUCUGCCCUAUCAACUUUCGAUGGCAGGGUCUUGGCCUGCCAUGGUGACAACGGGUAACGGAGGGUUAGGGCUCGACCCCGGAGAAGGAGCCUGAGAAACGGCUACUACAUCCAAGGAAGGCAGCAGGCGCGCAAAUUACCCAAUCCCGACUCGGGGAGGUAGUGACAAUAAAUACUGAUACAGGGCUCUUUUGGGUCUUGUAAUUGGAAUGAGUACAAUUUAAAUCCCUUAACGAGGAACAAUUGGAGGGCAAGUCUGGUGCCAGCAGCCGCGGUAAUUCCAGCUCCAAUAGCGUAUAUUAAAGUUGUUGCAGUUAAAAAGCUCGUAGUUGAACCUUGGGCCUGGCUGGCCGGUCCGCCUCACCGCGUGCACUGGUUCGGCCGGGCCUUUCCCUCUGGGGAACCGCAUGCCCUUCACUGGGUGUGUCGGGGAACCAGGACUUUUACUGUGAAAAAAUUAGAGUGUUCAAAGCAGGCCUAUGCUCGAAUACAUUAGCAUGGAAUAAUAGAAUAGGACGUGUGGUUCUAUUUUGUUGGUUUCUAGGACCGCCGUAAUGAUUAAUAGGGACAGUCGGGGGCGUCAGUAUUCAAUUGUCAGAGGUGAAAUUCUUGGAUUUAUUGAAGACUAACUACUGCGAAAGCAUUCGCCAAGGAUGUUUCAUUAAUCAGGAACGAAAGUU
rnacentral:rRNA from 1 species